rnacentral:misc_RNA from 1 species
GAAAUGCGAUACGUAAUGUGAAUUGCAAGGCUCAGUGAAUCAUCGAAUCUUUGAACGCAGAAGGCGCUUGGGCUCUCGGGCCCAAGCACGUCUGUUGGAGCGGCAGCCCCAAUCAUCUCACCCCCCUCAACCCAGUGUUGGCGGGCGAGUGGAGAGUGGGUGUCACCGCGGGCCCGCCACCGUGCGGGCUGCGGCGUCUCCCGAAAUGCAGGGGGCAGCGGGGAACUCCGUCGCCGUAGCGUGCCAGCCGGACCUUGUGUCUGGAAGUGCCGUUGCCGUGACGCCCCACUAACCAGCCCCGGCGAGACGCUCGACAGCUGCGCGGCCUCGUGCCGCAGAGCUAGUCUGGCUUUUGCCCUCCAAUCAGGCGAGAUUACCCGCUGAAUUUAA